rnacentral:rRNA from 1 species
CACGUAGGCGGCUUCUUAAGUCGGUGGUGAAAUCCUGGAGCUCAACUCCAGAACUGCCUUUGAUACUGGGGAUCUCGAGUCCGGGAGAGGUGAGUGGAACUGCGAGUGUAGAGGUGAAAUUCGUAGAUAUUCGCAAGAACACCAGUGGCGAAGGCGGCUCACUGGCCCGGUACUGACGCUGAGGUGCGAAAGCGUGGGAGCAAACA